rnacentral:rRNA from 1 species
UCAUCGGCCUCAGAUUGGUAGGACUACCCGCUGAACUUAAGCAUAUCAAUAAGCGGAGGAAAAGAAACUAACAAGGAUUCCCCUAGUAACGGCGAGUGAAGAGGGAAGAGCCCAAGAUUGAAAGCUGGCGUCUUCGGCGUCCGCAUUGUAAUCUCAAGAAGUGUUUUCCGCUUCGGACCAAGCCUAAGUCCCCUGGAAAGGGGCAUCAUAGAGGGUGAUAAUCCCGUACAUGGCUUGGAGCGCCCGUAGCUUUGUGAUACACUUUCUAAGAGUCGAGUUGUUUGGGAAUGCAGCUCAAAAUGGGUGGUAAAUGCCAUCUAAGGCUAAAUAUUGGGGAGAGACCGAUAGCGAACAAGUACAGUGAUGGAAAGAUGAAAAGAACUUUGAAAAGAGAGUUAAACAGUACGUGAAAUUGCCAAAAGGGAAGGGUAGGAGGUCAGAGAUGCGGCCUAGGAUUCAGCCUUGCUUUUGCUUGGUGUUUUUCCUAGAUUGCAGGCCAACGUCGGUUUUGGGCACUGGAGAAGGGUGGAAGGAACGUGGCACCUCUCGGGGUGUGUUAUAGCCUUCUACUGGAUACAGCGACCGAGACCGAGGACAGCAGCGUACUCGCAAGAGCGGGCCUUCGGGCACCUUUACGCUUAGGGC